rnacentral:rRNA from 1 species
AUUGAACGCUGGCGGCAUGCUUUACACAUGCAAGUCGAACGGCAGCGCGGGGGCAACCCUGGCGGCGAGUGGCGAACGGGUGAGUAAUAUAUCGGAACGUACCCAGAAGUGGGGGAUAACGUAGCGAAAGUUACGCUAAUACCGCAUACGAUCUACGGAUGAAAGUGGGGGACCUUCGGGCCUCAUGCUUUUGGAGCGGCCGAUAUCUGAUUAGCUAGUUGGUGAGGUAAAGGCUCACCAAGGCGACGAUCAGUAGCUGGUCUGAGAGGACGACCAGCCACACUGGAACUGAGACACGGUCCAGACUCCUACGGGAGGCAGCAGUGGGGAAUUUUGGACAAUGGGGGCAACCCUGAUCCAGCAAUGCCGCGUGAGUGAAGAAGGCCUUCGGGUUGUAAAGCUCUUUGUCAGGGAAGAACGGGGUAGGCGUAAUACCUGCUCCUAAUGACGGUACC